GCACAAUUCCUUAUGUGAUAGUGUGCACAGACCACAUUGUUCAGAAAGAGGGUGACAUGAAAAAAAGAAUUUCAAAAUUCAUUUCCAGACUUCAAAUUGAAAUGAAAAACAGCGGUAUCAAAAAAAUAAAAGAAGUCAAACAAUUCUUUUUCCCAGUGUCAGCAUUUAACCACUUCUACUUAGUUUGCUUCAACAUGUAUAAUGCCACUGUUGAUAUGAUUGAUAACAGAAAGCUUCCCAUGAAUAUGAAAGCAAAAGACAAAUACGGUACCUCUCCCAUAAAAAUGCUUUUAUAGGGUUUUUGAAAAGCCAAA